UGAAAAAUCAUUGGGUCGCAAUCAAAUCCCACACCAAUAACCAUUCUCUCAAAUAUUAGCAGAACCUAAUUGCACACUCGUGCAAUACAUAAAGAAAUUGAGUUACAUAAUUGAGAUUGGAUGCUGACCCACUUCACGAAGAGGAAAAUCAAGGAAUGCACGCUACACACUUUUAAGUGAAAACUCCUAGAAAGUUGGGGGGAAAACAAAGGUUGGACUCAAAAUCAGAAAUUAAAUGGACGCUACACACAAAUGCAAAACUUACAAAGAAAUUAAACCCAAUUGGAGAAGUGAGAACAACUAAGCAAUAAAAGAAAUUUUCUUUCUUUAAAAAAAAAAAAAUAUAUACAUACAAUCCAAAAUUCCUAUUUCACAAUUAAAUCACUGCACAAUAAGAAAUCGGCAGCUUACAGAAAAGAUUCAAAACCCUUCUGCAAUCUGUCGGCACGAGGUGAGCAACCUGUUCACUCUUCCUGCAAUCUUCACGGUGAAUGAAAACCUAUUCCCACAAUUAGGAUUUUGUUUGCCAAGGAUGAAGGAAAUGACAAUCGCAGGAAUAGUAAGAAAUUGGGCAAACCUUGAAGAUGACUUGUAGGACUCAAAUCCACUUAACUUUGAGCAAGCGUUUAGAAAAAUGCCCAAAAUUUGAUGAAAUUAGAGAGUUUUAUCGGCGAGAGGCAAUGGAUUUGAUGCGGUGGCAGAGAAAGAUAAAGGAAAAGAAAGGGUUAAAGUGAUGGGAGAUGGGAGUGCAUGUGAAAAAUUGGACAGACAGUUAAUUAUAAGCAGGCUGAAC
rnacentral:lncRNA from 1 species